AGAGAGAGAGAGAGAGAGAGAGAGAGGAGGUGGGCGAGGGAAGAAUGUUUCCAGUUUCCUUCCGGUCAGCGAACAGGGAGGCUGGAGUUGACCGGUGCUUGAGGGACAUGACCCGGCCCCAACACUGUCUACCUGUCCUGGUCCUUCACUGCGCAUUCAGGUUUGACUGCCGCUGUGGAGACCAGUCACUCCCUCAGGCUUCAGGUGAGCACCGCUACAGGGACGUGAGCUAGUCAAACGUUGCCUCCCCCUGUCCACGCCCCGUCUCGGCCCACUCGCAGCUGUACGGAGAGUGGAGAAGACGCCGGCAGCAGCAGCACCAACUCCAGCGAGGAUUGUAAUUGGUGCCUACUUCCCCUUCCUGUCCUACACUGUGCUGUCUGGUGGACGUGUCUGUCUGUUGAUUAGUGUGUGUGUUCUAAGCGUUCAAAGGACGCCUCCCAUUGUUUCGUUUUUAUUUUAUUUUUUUUUUUACUUAUUUAUUUUUUUUGUGGAAAUGCUUCUACCUUGUCUCCGGACACUCUGCGAAGUAUCAUUAACACGUUUCCUGGAUGCUGGUUUGUAAAUAAAAAUCUGCAAGUUUA